UACAGAGGUCCCAAGCGUUGUUCGGAUUCAUUGGGCGUAAAGGGUGCGUAGGCGGCGCGGUAAGUCGGGUGUGAAAUCUCGGGGCUUAACUCCGAAACUGCAUUUGAUACUGCCUUGCUUGAGGACUGGAGAGGAGACUGGAAUUCACGGUGUAGCAGUGAAAUGCGUAGAUAUCGUGAGGAAGACCAGUGGCGAAGGCGGGUCUCUGGACAGUUCCUGACACUGAGGCACGAAGGCCAGGGGAGCAAACGGG
rnacentral:rRNA from 1 species